AUUGAACGCUGGCGGCAGGCCUAACACAUGCAGGUCGAACGGUAACAGAAAGCAGCUUGCUGCUUUGCUGACGAGUGGCGGACGGGUGAGUAAUGUCUGGGAAACUGCCUGAUGGAGGGGGAUAACUACUGGAAACGGUAGCUAAUACCGCAUAACGUCGCAAGACCAAAGAGGGGGACCUUCGGGCCUCUUGCCAUCGGAUGUGCCCAGAUGGGAUUAGCUAGUAGGUGGGGUAACGGCUCACCUAGGCGACGAUCCCUAGCUGGUCUGAGAGGAUGACCAGCCACACUGGAACUGAGACACGGUCCAGACUCCUACGGGAGGCAGCAGUGGGGAAUAUUGCACAAUGGGCGCAAGCCUGAUGCAGCCAUGCCGCGUGUAUGAAGAAGGCCUUCGGGUUGUAAAGUACUUUCAGCGAGGAGGAAGGUGUUGUGGUUAAUAACCGCAGCAAUUGACGUUACUCGCAGAAGAAGCACCGGCUAACUCCGUGCCAGCAGCCGCAGUAA
rnacentral:rRNA from 1 species